rnacentral:rRNA from 1 species
UAUUGCUCAAUGGGAGAAAUCCUGAAGCAGCAACGCCGCGUGGAGGAUGAAGGGUCUAUGACUUGUAAACUCCUGUAAAGAAGGAAAAAAUUCCCAUUAGAUGGGAGAUGAUGGUACUUCUGGAGUAAGCCCCGGCUAACUACGUGCCAGCAGCCGCGGGAAUACGUAGGGGUCAAGCGUUGUCCGGAUUUACUGGGUGUAAAGGGUGCUCAGGCGGAGUGGUAAGUCAGAGGUGAAAUCUUACAGCGUAACUGUGAAACUGCCUUGUAUACUGGAAGCCUAGAGUAUGGAAGAGAGGGGUGGAAGAUCUGGUGGAGAAGUGAAAUGCGUAAAUAUCAGAGAGAACACCGAUGGUGAAGGCAGUCAUUUGGUCCAUGACUGCCCCGAAAGCACGAAAGCGUGGGUAGCAAAC